rnacentral:rRNA from 1 species
UCAGAGGUGAAAUUCUUGGAUUUAUUGAAGACUAACUACUGCGAAAGCAUUUGCCAAGGAUGUAUUCAUUAAUCAGGAACGAAAGUUAGGGGAUCGAAGACGAUCAGAUACCGUCGUAGUCUUAACCAUAAACUAUGCCGACUAGGGAUCGGACGAUGUUA